ensembl:misc_RNA Metazoa_SRP Metazoan signal recognition particle RNA
GCCAUGCGUGGUAGCUUGCGACUGUCAUCCCAGCCACUCUGGAGCCCAAGGCAGGAGACUCGCUUGAGUCCAGGAGUUCUGGGCUGCAGUGUACGCUAUGCCAAUGAGUGUCUUCACUAAGUUCAGCACCAAUAUAGUGACCUCCCAGAAGGGGGGACCACCAGGCAGCCUAAGGAGGGUGAAUAGGCCCAGGAUGGAAACAGAGUAAGUGAAAGGGAACAGGUCAAAACUCGCGAGCUGAUCAGUAGUGGGAUGGCACCUGUGAAUAGCUACCACACUCCAGCCUGGGCAACAUAGGGAGAGUCAUCCCUA